rnacentral:rRNA from 1 species
UUAAGCGACUAAGCGUACACGGUGGAUGCCCUGGCAGUCAGAGGCGAUGAAGGACGUGCUAAUCUGCGAAAAGCGCCGGCGAGGUGAUAUGAACCUUUGACCCGGCGAUGUCCGAAUGGGGAAACCCAGUGUGUUCCGACACACUAUCGUUAACUGAAUACAUAGGUUAACGAGGCGAACCGGGGGAACUGAAACAUCUAAGUACCCCGAGGAAAAGAAAUCAACCGAGAUUCCCCCAGUAGCGGCGAGCGAACGGGGAGCAGCCCAGAGUCUGAAUCAGCUUGUGUGUUAGUGGAAGCGUCUGGAAAGUCGCACGGUACAGGGUGAAAGUCCCGUACACGAAAGCACACAGGUUGUGAACUCGAAGAGUAGGGCGGGACACGUGGUAUCCUGUCUGAAUAUGGGGGGACCAUCCUCCAAGGCUAAAUACUCCUGACUGACCGAUAGUGAACCAGUACCGUGAGGGAAAGGCGAAAAGAACCCCGGCGAGGGGAGUGAAAAAGAACCUGAAACCGUGUACGUACAAGCAGUGGGAGCCUCUUUUAUGGGGUGACUGCGUACCUUUUGUAUAAUGGGUCAGCGACUUAUAUUCUGUAGCAAGGUUAACCGUAUAGGGGAGCCGAAGGGAAACCGAGUCUUAACUGGGCGUUAAGUUGCAGGGUAUAGACCCGAAACCCGGUGAUCUAGCCAUGGGCAGGUUGAAGGUUGGGUAACACUAACUGGAGGACCGAACCGACUAAUGUUGAAAAAUUAGCGGAUGACUUGUGGCUGGGGGUGAAAGGCCAAUCAAACCGGGAGAUAGCUGGUUCUCCCCGAAAGCUAUUUAGGUAGCGCCUCGUGAACUCAUCUUCGGGGGUAGAGCACUGUUUCGGCUAGGGGGCCAUCCCGGCUUACCAACCCGAUGCAAACUACGAAUACCGAAGAAUGUUAUCACGGGAGACACACGGCGGGUGCUAACGUCCGUCGUGAAGAGGGAAACAACCCAGACCGCCAGCUAAGGUCCCAAAGUCAUGGUUAAGUGGGAAACGAUGUGGGAAGGCACAGACAGCCAGGAUGUUGGCUUAGAAGCAGCCAUCAUUUAAAGAAAGCGUAAUAGCUCACUGGUCGAGUCGGCCUGCGCGGAAGAUGUAACGGGGCUAAACCAUGCACCGAAGCUGCGGCAGCGACACUAUGUGUUGUUGGGUAGGGGAGCGUUCUGUAAGCCGUUGAAGGUGUCCUGUGAGGGGUGCUGGAGGUAUCAGAAGUGCGAAUGCUGACAUAAGUAACGAUAAAGCGGGUGAAAAGCCCGCUCGCCGGAAGACCAAGGGUUCCUGUCCAACGUUAAUCGGGGCAGGGUGAGUCGACCCCUAAGGCGAGGCCGAAAGGCGUAGUCGAUGGGAAACAGGUUAAUAUUCCUGUACUUGGUGUUACUGCGAAGGGGGGACGGAGAAGGCUAUGUUAGCCGGGCGACGGUUGUCCCGGUUUAAGCAUGUAGGCGGAGGUUCCAGGUAAAUCCGGUUCCUUGUUAACGCUGAGGUGUGAUGACGAGGCACUACGGUGCUGAAGUAACAAAUGCCCUGCUUCCAGGAAAAGCCUCUAAGCAUCAGGUAACAUCAAAUCGUACCCCAAACCGACACAGGUGGUCAGGUAGAGAAUACCAAGGCGCUUGAGAGAACUCGGGUGAAGGAACUAGGCAAAAUGGUGCCGUAACUUCGGGAGAAGGCACGCUGAUAUGUAGGUGAAGCCCCUGCGGGUGGAGCUGAAAUCAGUCGAAGAUACCAGCUGGCUGCAACUGUUUAUUAAAAACACAGCACUGUGCAAACACGAAAGUGGACGUAUACGGUGUGACGCCUGCCCGGUGCCGGAAGGUUAAUUGAUGGGGUUAGCGGCAACGCGAAGCUCUUGAUCGAAGCCCCGGUAAACGGCGGCCGUAACUAUAACGGUCCUAAGGUAGCGAAAUUCCUUGUCGGGUAAGUUCCGACCUGCACGAAUGGCGUAAUGAUGGCCAGGCUGUCUCCACCCGAGACUCAGUGAAAUUGAACUCGCUGUGAAGAUGCAGUGUACCCGCGGCAAGACGGAAAGACCCCGUGAACCUUUACUAUAGCUUGACACUGAACACUGGUCCUUGAUGUGUAGGAUAGGUGGGAGGCUUUGAAGCGUGGACGCCAGUCUGCGUGGAGCCAACCUUGAAAUACCACCCUUUAAUGGCUGGUGUUCUAACGUAGACCCGUGAUCCGGGUUGCGGACAGUGUCUGGUGGGUAGUUUGACUGGGGCGGUCUCCUCCCAAAGAGUAACGGAGGAGCACGAAGGUUAGCUAAUCCUGGUCGGACAUCAGGAGGUUAGUGCAAUGGCAUAAGCUAGCUUGACUGCGAGAGUGACGGCUCGAGCAGGUGCGAAAGCAGGUCAUAGUGAUCCGGUGGUUCUGAAUGGAAGGGCCAUCGCUCAACGGAUAAAAGGUACUCCGGGGAUAACAGGCUGAUACCGCCCAAGAGUUCAUAUCGACGGCGGUGUUUGGCACCUCGAUGUCGGCUCAUCACAUCCUGGGGCUGAAGUAGGUCCCAAGGGUAUGGCUGUUCGCCAUUUAAAGUGGUACGCGAGCUGGGUUUAGAACGUCGUGAGACAGUUCGGUCCCUAUCUGCCGUGGGCGCUGGAGAAUUGAGGGGGGCUGCUCCUAGUACGAGAGGACCGGAGUGGACGCAUCACUGGUGUUCGGGUUGUCAUGCCAAUGGCACUGCCCGGUAGCUAAAUGCGGAAGAGAUAAGUGCUGAAAGCAUCUAAGCACGAAACUUGCCCCGAGAUGAGUUCUCCCUGAGACUUUAAGUCUCCUGAAGGAACGUUGAAGACUACGACGUUGAUAGGUCGGGUGUGUAAGCGCAGCGAUGCGUUGAGCUAACCGAUACUAAUGAACCGUGAGGCUUAACCUU